rnacentral:rRNA from 1 species
AGAACGAACGCUGGCGGCAUGCCUAACACAUGCAAGUCGAACGCUCUUGGGGCUUCGGUCUCAGGGGAGUGGCGCACGGGUGAGUAGCGCGUGGGAACCUGCCCUGUUGUGGGGGAUAACCGAGGGAAACUUCGGCUAAUACCGCAUAAGCCGGUUGUCUUGAAGGAGAUGGCCGGGAAAGAUUUAUCGCGACAGGAGGGGCCCGCGUCGGAUUAGCUAGUUGGUGGGGUAACGGCCCACCAAGGCGGUGAUCCGUAGCUGGUCUGAGAGGAUGAUCAGCCACACUGGGACUGAGACACGGCCCAGACUCCUACGGGAGGCAGCAGUGGGGGAAUAUUGGACAAUGGGCGCAAGCCUGAUCCAGCAAUGCCGCGUGAGUGAUGAAGGCCUUAGGGUUGUAAAGCUCUUUCGCCCGCGACGAUGAUGACGGUAGCGGGAGAAGAAGCCCGGCUAACUUCGUGCCAGCAGCCGC